rnacentral:rRNA from 1 species
UGGGGAAUUUUGCGCAAUGGGCGAAAGCCUGACGCAGCAACGCCGCGUGGGUGAUGAAGGUCUUCGGAUCGUAAAACCCUGUCGUCAGGGACGAAGGUUCUGGGGUGAACAGCCCCAGGAUUUGACGGUACCUGGAGAGGAAGCCCCGGCUAACUUCGUGCCAGCAGCCGCGGUAAUACGAAGGGGGCUAGCGUUGCUCGGAAUUACUGGGCGUAAAGCGCACGUAGGCGGACUCUUAAGUCGGUGGUGAAAUCCUGGAGCUCAACUCCAGAACUGCCUUCGAUACUGGGAGUCUUGAGUUCGGGAGAGGUGAGUGGAACUGCGAGUGUAGAGGUGAAAUUCGUAGAUAUUCGCAAGAACACCAGUGGCGAAGGCGGCUCACUGGCCCGAUACUGACGCUGAGGUGCGAAAGCGUGGGGAGCAAAC